GCGAGAGGGCGAAGUUGGCGAGGGCGAUUGCGAAGCGGAAGGAUACGGAGCGGGCGGCAGCUGUCAAGUCGGCGACUGCGCUGGCGAAGGAGAUCGCGACGUCGAAAGAGGCGGCGUUGGCGAAGGAGGAUUUCGCGGCGCCAUCCUCCUCGACCCCAGUCACCGGGGACAUGGCCGACGGGUCCUCAGUCUCCGGGUUCCUGAUCGACUUGUAUGAUAGGGACCCUGGGGUUACAAUCAUGGCUGGCGCCUCACCGGAUAUUUUAAAGUUUGAGGUCACUACUGUGGAAACAUAUCUUGCUAACAGGAACUGGGAAGGGCUUGAAACUUAUAUUGAGAAGUUUUUGAAAGAUGUCCAAGUUGAGUUCCACUCUCAUUCGGGUCUCGUGUACACACUUUACAAAGCCAGAAUUGGGAAUCUUAUCCUGAAUAAAAAGUUUGAUGAAUCAAGAACACUUUUCAAUGAAAAAGUUCAAACCUUGAUCAAGAUGAUGAUCUCUAUCUACCACUUGACCUGGCACAAGAUGUUCAGUACUUGGAGGCCUGUGUGAAAAUUUGCAAGGCACCAAUUGAAGAAUAUGCUAUGAAGACUGUGAUUUGUGAUUAUGUGCACCUAUACUUCCCUGAGAGCCUAGGAGUGAAAAGAAAGGAAUCUCCCCGUGAUUUUGUAAGAGCUGUUACGAUGAAGAUGGCAAGUGAUGGGUUCAUAGAUUAAAACAUUGUCAUAGAUCUACAUUAGAGAAAACAGAGAGAGGGAGGGAGAGAAUCAGAGGGUCAACCAUCGGUCUUGGUGCUGGAGCUCGCCAUGGCGGUGAAGGUGACGGUGGCUUGACGAUGACGACGUUAAU